rnacentral:ribozyme from 1 species
AGAGUUGGCAGCCACGGGUAUAUUUGCGGAUUUGUUACGUGUGACUCGUGCAUUUUCUUC